ACGCACGCUGGCGGCGUGCUUAACACAUGCAAGUCGAACGGAAAGGCCCCUUUGGGGGUACUCGAGUGGCGAACGGGUGAAUAACACGUGAGUAACCUGCCCUUGACUUCGGGAUAACUUCAGGAAACUGGGGCUAAUACCGGAUAGGAAUCCUUGCUGCAUGGUGGGGGUUGGAAAGCUUCGGCGGUUUUGGAUGGACUCGCGGCUUAUCAGCUUGUUGGUGGGGUAGUGGCUUACCAAGGCUUUGACGGGUAGCCGGCCUGAGAGGGCGACCGGCCACAUUGGGACUGAGAUACGGCCCAGACUCCUACGGGAGGCAGCAGUGGGGAAUAUUGCACAAUGGGCGGAAGCCUGAUGCAGCAACGCCGCGUGCGGGAUGACGGCCUUCGGGUUGUAAACCGCUUUCAGCAGGGGCGAAGCUUGUGGUGACGGUACCUGCAGAAGAAGCACCGGCUAACUACGUG
rnacentral:rRNA from 1 species